rnacentral:rRNA from 1 species
GAUGAACGCUAGCUACAGGCUUAACACAUGCAAGUCGAGGGGUAACGAGAGGAAAGCUUGCUUUCCUUGUCGACGACCGGCGCACGGGUGAGUAACGCGUAUCCAACCUGCCCCCAACUAGGGAAUAACCUUGCGAAAGUAAGACUAAUACCCUAUAAUUUCCUCAGAUGUCAUCUGACGAGGAAUAAAGAUUUAUCGGUUGUGGAUGGGGAUGCUGCUGAUUAGCUUGUUGGCGGGGUAACGGCCCACCAAGGCAACGAUCAGUAGGGGUUAUGAGGGGAAGGUCCCCAACAUUUGAACUGAGACACGGUCCAAACUCCUGCGGGAGGCAGCAGUGAGGAAUAUUGGUCAAUGGGCGGAAGCCUGAACCAGUCAAGUAGCGUGCAGGAUGACGGCCCUAUGGGUUGUAAACUGCUUUUAUACAGGAAUAAAGUUAGCCACGUGUGGUUAUUUGUAGGUACUGUAUGAAUAAGGACCGGCUAAUUCCGUGCCAGCCGCCGCGGUAA